GAUGAACGCUGGCGGCGUGCCUAAUACAUGCAAGUCGAGCGAACAGACGAGGAGCUUGCUCCUCUGACGUUAGCGGCGGACGGGUGAGUAACACGUGGAUAACCUACCUAUAAGACUGGGAUAACUUCGGGAAACCGGAGCUAAUACCGGAUAAUAUAUUGAACCGCAUGGUUCAAUAGUGAAAGACGGUUUUGCUGUCACUUAUAGAUGGAUCCGCGCCGCAUUAGCUAGUUGGUAAGGUAACGGCUUACCAAGGCAACGAUGCGUAGCCGACCUGAGAGGGUGAUCGGCCACACUGGAACUGAGAAACGGUCCAGACUCCUACGGGAGGCAGCAGUAGGGAAUCUUCCGCAAUGGGCGAAAGCCUGACGGAGCAACGCCGCGUGAGUGAUGAAGGUCUUCGGAUCGUAAAACUCUGUUAUUAGGGAAGAACAAAUGUGUAAGUAACUAUACACGUCUUGACGGUACCUAAUCAGAAAGCCACGGCUAACUACGUG
rnacentral:rRNA from 1 species